CCCCUUUCUAUGUCUUCUUUCCACAUUUUAAUAAACAGCGCAAUUCUCGCAAAGCACGUUUUAAAUUGAUUGGUUCUCUGAGUCUGAAUUCCAAUGCACCAAAUAUGGUGAGGUAAACAACGUAGUUGCUAACUCGUUCAAAUAUUAAUUCGAUGAAUCCAACAAAAGUUCAGACCCAUGUGAGAUUCAAUGAGGAGUGUAGUGGGGAAAAGAUUGGGAUGAUCCAAAUUUAUAUCAUUUAGACAUUUUAUAAGAUCUUACCGAACUUUCACAGGAAUAUGCAGAAGUAUUGAAUUAAAUUGAAUAAUGAAAUAAUAAACCGAAUUACCAAAGGAAUGAAUGUGAUUGCCGAACCGAAAUGCAUCACGGGGAUGUAAACAAGAUAAUCCGCCAAAAUGGGAGAACAAAGACAAAGGGAGAAAAGCCUGUAGAUAAAGGGAAAUACUGACCCCAGGAUCAUGAGCAUGGGGCCCAGGCUAUGCCGAACUUGUAUAUGGCCUACUUGCAUUGAACGAUUGGUGCUAGAUGUAAACGGUGUACACACUCAGUGCCUAGAGAAUCUGAGACGUGUAGUGAGCUCAAUGUUUCUGUGACUUGUGACUGAGUACCAACUUGCAUCAACAUGAUGUGUGGUUAUUUCAUCAAGGGCGGAUCUAAAUUUUCAAAGUUGCAGGCAGUGAGGCUCCCUGAGAGUGCCAGAGCUCAUACAUGCAUUAUGGCCCGUCAGUCCUGAGACUCGCAAACUAGUGUGUAAGAGAAAGCAUCUGAUCCAACAAGAAGAUCGUGUGGACACUGGCAGAGUUGUCAUUUUGAAAUGGCAAUCAAUGCCCUCAGAAGAUGCAUACAGAACUCACAUUGGAGAUACUUGAUAGCAGAAGCUUUGGAUAAGAGUUGCCUUGGAGAUGAUUAUUGACGAAAUACCUAGUUUUUGAAAAAACAAUGCAUUAUAGGAAAUACGGAACUUAAAUUAAGUCACAUUAGCACUAUAUUGUAUAUUUUUGUUAGACAUUAGACAAUUUUUCAGAACAACUUGUUUUUUGUGAAGUGAAGCACUAAUGUAUGUUCAUGUGAAGUUCAUCGCGAAUGAUCAUCUGACAUAUUCUGAUAUACUCGACAUUUAACAAUUGUUUCUGUUGAGUCUGUUAAAUUAUAUUUACAACAACAGUAAUCUCAUAAAAUAAAUUCACGAUCCAGUGAUCGAACCACUAGACCGUUACAAUGAUAUGUAUUUUUGCUAUACAUACAUUAUGUGAUAUUAUGUUUAUGGAUUCCUGUAUUGUUGGAAACACAGUUGGCAGUCUAGAAAAAAAUAUUUUUUUGGAUAAAUGUUUUGGGCAAGGACAACAUAUAUUCACAAAUGCGAUUCAUUUACUUAACGUAAGGCACUGUUUUAACUUUAUCACGGCUUCAUGUACAUGAUACCGCUUUGUGAAGUCAGCACACACUUUUUCAAGUGUGAAGCUUGACACAUAGAGCACAUGGUAUUGACACAACCACUUCAUCACCAAAUACACAAUACCGCUUUGUGAAGUCAGCACACAUGUUUCGAUGUGUGAAGCUGGACACAUGAAGGACACAGAACUACUUAUGCACAUUUUUUUUUACACAUUCAUAAGGUAUUCAUAUAAGUGGUGCUGCUUUGUGAAGUCAAGCACACAUGUUUCGAUGUGUGAAGUUGGACACAUGAAGCACACAGUACUACUUAUGCACAUUUUUUUUACACGUUCACAUUUGUUACACCACCAUAGGUAUUCAUAUAAGUGGUACUGCUUUGUGAAGUCGAGCACACAUGUUUCGAUAUGUGAAGCUGGACACAUGAAGCACACAGUACUACUUAUGCACAUUUUUUUUACACAUUCACAUUUGUUACACCUUCAUAGGUAUUCAUAUAAGUGGUACUGCUUUGUGAAGUCGAGCACACAUGUUUCGAUGUGUGAAGCUGGACACAUGAAGCACACAGUACUACUUAUGCACAUUUUUUUUUACACAUUCACAUUUUUUACACAUUCAUAGGGUAUUCAUAUAAGUGGUACUGCUUUGUGAAGUCGAGCACACAUGUUUCGAUGUGUGAAGCUGGACACAUGAAGCACACAGUACUACUUAUGCACAUUUUUUUUUUACACAUUCACAUUUGUUACACCUUCAUAGGUAUUCAUAUAAGUGGUACUGCUUUGUGAAGUCAAGCACACAUGUUUCGAUGUGUGAAGCUGGACACAUGAAGCACAUAGUACUGAAUAUGCACAUUUUUUUACACAUUCACUUUUUUUGCACAUUCAUAGGGUAUUCAUAUAAGUGGUACUGCUUUGUGAAGUCGAGCACACAUGUUUCGAUGUGUGAAGCUGGACACAUGAAGGACACAGAACUACUUAUGCACAUUUUUUUUUACACAUUCAUAAGGUAUUCAUAUAAGUGGUGCUGCUUUGUGAAGUCGAGCACACAUGUUUCGAUGUGUGAAGCUGGACACAUGAAGCACACAGUACUACUUAUGCACAUUUUUUUUUUUUACACAUUCACAUUUGUUACACCUUCAUAGGUAUUCAUAUAAGUGGUACUGCUUUGUGAAGUCAAGCACACAUGUUUCGAUGUGUGAAGCUGGACACAUGAAGCACAUGGUACAUGUACUACUUGUGCACAUAUGUUAGGCACAUGCAUAUGGAAAAUUUGAUUCUGUAUAUGCAUACUAUUAUACACAAAGUAUGCAUAUUUCACUAUUUCAUGAAAAGAAAAUAAGUUUUAUUUUCCAUCAUUUAUUAAAGAAGAGCAAUUUUUUUUAAUUAAUUUUUAAUAUUUUGUUGCAAUUAUGAUUUUGAAAUAUAAAAACAAGUAUAUGUAGCUCAAAUCAUAAUAUUCAGUAUUUUUUCGUAGUGUAUAUUGUGACUACCAUCUUAUUUAUUAGUAGUCAUGGGUCCAUUUAUUUUUUAUGACAAUUAUCUAGAAAUAAAAAGUUUUAUUAAAGUUUGUGUUUAUCUGUUUUAUCUUAUAAGUGUUUUCAAGAAUUUUGAGAGGUUGUAAAAUUUGACAAGUAUGUGAUAUAUCACAUGAGCACAUACUUCCUUUUAUUAUGAGCAUGAUAUAGAUUUAGUGACAAAGUCGACCUUUACUUAAGUCAUCAAAGACGAACAUCUUUUUUCAAAUUUAAAAAAAUUGAAAAUAUUAAAUUUACUGUUCUGUAAAUAUGAAAGAGAAUGUUUAAACACAUUUUAGUACUUGAAGUAAAGUUAAUUCAAAGGUAACCUUGAUAUUCCUUACAUCUUUAAUUAUAUUUACUUUUAAAGUAAAGUUUUGUAAAGGUGUUUUUUUCACGCAGUGUUAGUAGCAAUGUUAAGGUAGGGAGCAGACAUACAGGACAGGAGAAUAUGCCUCCCCCUCCCCGGCUGUAGUCAAAGGCAUAUAAAACACUUGAAUCCACAUACCUGCUAUACUUGAAAAUGAUUUGUUUAAGUGAAAUGUGAAAAUAACGUACAGUGAUGAAUCUCAAAACUCCUGCAAGCAAUGCAAAAUAUAUAGUUGGGCAAACACGGACCCCUGGACACAUCAGAGGUGGGAUCAAGUGCCUAGGAGGAGUAAGCAUCCCCUGUUGACCAUAAUUUACUGAAUUACCUGCACUAUCUGAACGUGUUUGCAUAUUAACAUGACUAAUCAUGACCCUGCUGUUUUUGAGAUAAAGAAUUUCAAAAACAUUUCAAUAUACAACCCUGUAAAACUUGCGUCCAUUAUUGUUGUUCACCCCCACCUUUCCCCGAGGACCACAAUUUGAAGAAACUUGAAUCUGCACUACCUGGGGAU